GGGUAUAGCUCAAGUGGUAGAGCACAUGCUUAGCAUGCAUGAGGCCCUGGCUCAAUCCCCAGUACUUCCU
rnacentral:tRNA from 1 species